AUUUUUCUAACUUUCCGUGAAGCAGUAGUUAAAUUUGAUAGCAAUCAACGCAUGCAACUGCUUCAGAUUUGUAUGUAUUUGUAUAUAUGAAUGUAUGCAUAUGUAUUGGAGGCAAAGAUAAUCCCCAUGCAUACCACAAUUGUCAAGGCAGUGUGGGUCGUCUAGUUUUGUCUGGAAUUAUAAAAAUUGAAAUUAAUUUACUCAAAAACCAUUCUAAGCACCUAAAUUUUCAUGUAAAUUUUCAAAAUUUUACGUCUUAUAAUAGAGUACAUAAAAAUGAAAUUAAUUACUUCCUGCAAAAUUCAUCUUUUGAUAUUCCAUCUCACAUUCAUUAUAGUACGCAAUAACUUUUCAGGAAGAUGUUAGUUUAGGUUUAAAGCAGAAAAAUAUCCUGGAUCAGUUUCGUAACCGGGUUAUCGACGGGCUGCCACAUGAUUAUAUGAAGACGGAAAUAUAUUUAAUCAAGUGGCUAAGAGUCACCAAUUUUGAGAAAAAUUUGGCCGAGGAGAGAUUACUUCAGGCACGAUCGAUACAAUAAGAGGAAUUUUCAAUACCGAAUUUGUAAAUAAAUAUAUAUUUUCUAGAAUCUAGAGUGGAGAAAGGAACAAAAUAUGGACACAAUCCACUCGGAAGACUGGAGUGACAUGUGGGACAAUGAUUUCCGAUAUUAUACUGAGGGCCGAGACAAAAUGGGACGACCGUUCGUAUAUAUGGAUAUGAAAAAUUACGACACAAGGAAAGCAGUACUUCAAGGAAAAGGUGACAGAUUGUGCCAUAUACCAUGACAAAAUAAUGGACGACUUGUGCGGACUGGUGCAAAAGUUAGGAGAACAGUAUGGAAAUGUAACGCGUGGGCAUCUUCUGGGGAAUAUGGAAGGAUUCAAUCCCCUGCAGCAUGUGUGCAUCCGAUGUAUCCCACUUGUGAUAAAAAAUGUAUUUGGUUAUUUUGACCACUUUCCGGAAUGUGUGGACAAAGCGAUAUCUGUAAAUUCCCCCGCUUCAUUUGAGGUCGCGCUUGACAUUGGAAGACCACUUCUUACGGAGGCAAUGAGAAAAAGAAUGUUCGUAUAUGGCACAAAUAAAAAAGUGUGGAUGGAAGCUUUAAAGAAGGGUUUUGAUCUUGACCAGCUCCCACCAAGUCUGGGAGGCACAAAAAUUUAUAAAGGGAUGGAAAAAGAAUAUGACGAUUAGGUUGUAGUCUGAAAAGAAAAUUAGCAACAUUAGCAAAAUAUGUAAACGAAAUUGAAAUAAUAGCUUAAUUUUAAAUGUAUAGAAAGUACAAAUUGAAUUAUAAUAAAAGUAUUAUCGAAAUGAUCAUAAUUAAAUUGUUAUGGAGUGGUUAUCUAUCUGGAUAAAGUUACACGUACAGGUCGAGGAAGCUGUGUUUUGACCUUGGCAAACUUUGCGGAAAAACAUAACGAAAUCCGAAUCUGGAUAGUUUAAAUUUGCAUAAUAUUAUCUUAAUUUAACGAUAACUGAUUUUACGUAAAUUCAUCUGUUAAUCUUAUUUGUAACACUUGAAUAACUUUUAAGCAACAUGUUUGCAUACUUAUAAUAGAUAUGCAUGUGUAACGUACAAAUUCAUUUGUAUGUACAUAGGUACAUACAUAUGUAGUGUUGUCAAACUUUUUACAUUAAUCAUAAUUUGAUAAUAUUUUUAACUCUGUUGCCUGUAAAAGAAAGAACGUGUAUCAACUAUAAACUAAACAGAAACGCAUUAAACAAUUCGCGUACAUAUAUUCUUGCUUUCUUAUUUUUCUACUGAUGUAUUUUUCUUAGCUGUAAAUAUUUUCAUAAUUAAGUAAAUCUCAUGCGACAAAUUUCGAAACUAAUUUAAUUCAAACAAUCCCAUUACCUUAGUAUUGAAUGCAUGUGCACUUAUCUAAAACAAACCCAUUUAAAAGAUAAAUUCCCAGUUUUUCA